CAAUUGCCAAUUUUGGGCUGUCAGGGAGAUAUUCUCCACCACUGGAGUCAGCAAAGAAGUCUUGAGGAGGAACUGCUUCAGUCUCCAAAUUUGAUCAAGCAGGGAGAUGUCCUCCACAGCUGGAUCUAAGAAGUGAUUGCUGAUGAGCAGGUUCAGCUGGUGCCUAUUAAUCUUCAAACUGUCAGCACCUUUGUCUUCCACCAUGGGUGUGUGUGGGUCAGAUUCAAAUGUACCUCCUACAACAUGGUUAGUGAAUGUGGUUCUACAGAAAUAACAUACAAAGGUAUAACACCCAAUCUCAGUGUAACAAGCUGACCCUCAGAUAUACCCUCAGAACAUGAGUCAGUUUCAAAUGCAGAAACAAUAUCAAC
rnacentral:lncRNA from 1 species